rfam:Triticum urartu cultivar G1812 contig923348, whole genome shotgun sequence.
GUAGUACUCCCUCCGUCCAGAAAUACUUGUCAUCAAAAUGAAUAAAAGGGGAUGCAUAUAGAUGUAUUUUAGUUCUAGAUACACCUCUUUUUGUCCAUUUUAAUGACAAGUAUUUUCGGACGGAGGGAGUAGACA